rnacentral:lncRNA from 1 species
AGUUGAUUAGGCUUGAGUGACUGAGUGUUGUUUUUGGGUGAAGAUGGAUGCAUGUGAAGUCAAGGUGGUCUAUUACUCUUGGAGAUUUAUCUCAUAGACGGAUAGACGUCGCUCGCGAGUCUCCAACUCUUGUGGAUCAUCUGGGAGCAAGUUCUGAAGGUUGGUGCCUAACCUCCGUAAGGAAAUAGGUAAGGUUGAUAGUGGAUUCUUGCGCUUCUUUAU